GACGAACGCUGGCGGCAUGCCUAACACAUGCAAGUCUAGGGGUAGCAAUACCACUGGCGCACGGGUGAGUAACACGUAGGUUAUCUGCCCCCAUCACAGACAUAACCCCGGGAAACCGGGGCUAAUAUCUGAUGAGGUCGCGAGAUCAAAGCUUCGGCGGAUGGGGAUGAGCCUGCGGCUGAUUAGCUAGUUGGUGAGGUAAUGGCUCACCAAGGCGACGAUCAGUAGCUGGUCUGAGAGGACGAACAGCCACACUGGAACUGAGACACGGUCCAGACUCCUACGGGAGGCAGCAGUGAGGAAUAUUGGUCAAUGGGAGCAAUCCUGAACCAGCAAUGCCGCGUGUGGGAUGACAGGGCUUCGCCUUGUAAACCACUGUCGGACGGGACGAAAGGAGGCCUCGGGCCUCUGGGACGGUACCGUCAAAGGAAGGGUCGGC
rnacentral:rRNA from 1 species